CGUUGUUGUUUCUACGACGCACUUGCCCUUCCGGCUACUCUUCAAAUGACGACACUACCGACUUACACGAUAAUCCAGCGGUGUUGCGAUUUUUUUUAUCUCAGUUUUAUGGUUUUCGUUUGACUCACCCUCAUACAUGUGCGACCGCCAUCACAGCAUAGCUGCGAGUGCUUUGUUGUUACAGUUUAUAAGUACUUAAACUGUUUCAAUGAUUGAGACGACGUUUUGUUGUCUCCCCCAAGGCGUCGAAUCGGGCUUCUACUCAGAUUUGAUAGAUUACAUGGAGUUGGAAGCCAAGUAUGCCACUCCAAGACCUCCCCACGAAGCACAUAGUUACAAGUACAGUAGUCCAAAGUUGUACAUGAGCCCCGGUCGACGAUCUGUGGGGGGAAUCAUGGACAUGGACGAAUUUUCCGAAGCUGAGUGCGACAGAGACCGUAACGGACACUACAGGUCAAGCCACAGUAAGUGUCCGGCCAGGCACGCCACGUUCUAUGCUGACUGUGAUCGGUUCAAUACCGUUGUAAGUUUUAAAU